GCGCGCGGCGCGGCUCUCCCGCGGCGACCUCUGGCGGCCGCGCCGGGCCGUGGGCGCGGGAGCCACGACGUGCUCGGGCCCCCGUCGCCUUCGGAAAAGGCCGAGAGGCGUUGCGGUUGGCGCCGCCGCCUCGAGACCUGGUGGGUUCCUGGCCCGUCAGGGCAUGAGACUCGGGCAGCGCCGGCGCCUGACUGACCCUGAGGGCUGGGGGUGUUCGCGCGGGGCUGCCGGACGCGGGCUCCCCGGGGGCCCGGGGUAACGCUCAGCAUCUGCCCCGGCGUCUGUGGCAACGCUAGUUUGGCAGCAGCCGGCAGCCGUCGUUGGUCUUUCUCACUCGCUGGAAUUUUCCAGAGGCGACUAGAUGGGCAGUGAAGUCAUCACUGAUGACUCGCGGAAGGGCUGCCCGUGUUUGCUCCAAUUUCCCGAGUGCUCAGGGGUUCCUCCUGACUCUGCACUCAGGAAUUACUCCUGGCGGUGCUUGAGGGACCAUAUAGGAUGCUGGGAAUCGAACCCCGGUCGGCUGCAUGAGGGGAAACGCCCUCCCCGCUGUACCAUCGCUCCGGCCCCUUUCCUCUUUUCUUAAGCCUUCCUUGUGGGAACACUUCGUUUCUGCCUGAGGCCACAUCUUGGGGUACUCAGGGAUUACUGCUAGUGAUGUUUUGGGGACCUUAUAUGGUGCUGUGCUGGAAAUCAAACCAGUGUCAUCCAUGUGAAAGUACAUUCUUACAGUGGGAGUCUCUCUACAGCCACUGGAAUUUUCAAAGCUGUUUGGAUUCUUCAGUCCUUUUUGAAAACCUGAAAGCAAAAUGUUUGAGACUACUUGGCAUUUAGUAUUGCUUUUCCUUGUUUAUAGUUGCUGGAACAAUUAUUCAACCUUUUGCAGGUAGAAAUUUUCUUUUUCAGUCUCCUUUCCCAAACCUUAAUGGGGGUCCUGCUUUGGCUGUAGCUGCUCUGCCUGGGUUCUAGGAUGUGUCAUAAAGCAAGUGUAAGAGCUAGUACAGUGGGUAAGGUAUCUGACUUGCACGAGGCUGACCCAGGUUUGCUCUUUAGGUUUGAUCCCCUCCCUGAGUGUAAAAAACUAAAGAGCGCCGAGGGGCGCGUGUACUCGCGGGCUCUCCGGGCGGCUCUGUCUCACCGCCCGCAUCCGGUGCCCCAGAACCGCAGUGUGUGCCGUCGGUCGAGGGCAGGCGACGGAAGGAAGAAGGAAGAAGGCCAAACUGGUUGCUCGAUCCGUUUAUUUCAUUCUCUCUCUCCGCUUCUCUCCCGCUCUCCUGGAUCUCUCCCCGUGGAUCUGCCCCGUGGAUCUGCCUCGUGGAUCUGGCCCCCCAACCCACUCUCACAGCCUAGUUAAAUCUCCACAGCAUGAGGGGGUUGGGGCAUACACUUAGGUGUGGUCACCAUCUAUAGGGUAAGGUUCCUUUUCCUUAGGGGAUGCUUCUCCUAGGACUUAAUUCUCUUUCAGCAAGAGGAUCCACCCAAGGGUGGAGUCCCAUGAAUGUGUUUCUCUUCUCCUCAGCCAGCAAACAUAUAAGAAUUCAUAAUAUUAAUUAUUUUGUAUGGACACAAUAAGAGAUGCAUUAAAGCUUAUAGAAUUGCUCUCCUGGGGCCAUCUCAAUCUCAGACUACAGUGCUCAGCCAGAUCAGUCUUUCCUAUCCCUGGCAGGGUCCCAGUCUCAUAAUUACUAUUGGAUCAUGACAGCAUUUGUCUAUGAUCAAGCUCUUAACUUAUAGUUAAGAAUUAGGCACUUUGGCCAAGCCCAUCUCGAUGCCAGGGUAGCACAUAACUCACCGCUUGCCCUGGAUCCUUCCUGUCCCACGUCGGGGACCCUACUUUGGGGUGCUAGGAACUGAGGGCAACUGAGGCUUAAGUGGAGAAAGCAGAGGCCCGGGAGGGAAUAUUCGAGGCCAAUUAAUUCCCAAGUUAUAAAAACAUAAUAUUGUCUUCUUGUGUCUAUACAAAACAGUCAUAGCUUUAAAGUAAAUUAUUCAAAAGGCACAAGAAGAGGAGAAAGGCAAUAUUAACUUAUAUAAUAUAAAUUCAGUAUCCUAGGAAGGUCUGACCUUGCAAAUUAGCAGAGUCAGAUUAAGGGAAAGCCGAGGAUUAACUCUUUUGGGGAAGAGAGCAUGGAGAAGUGAUUAUAGCUAAACAAAGGGAUGGGAGAGAUUCGGGAACACCUUGAUGGGUGUGACUGGGGUAAGCCUAAACUCUGGGUAAAACCGGGACAAGCUACUUGUGGCAAGGAGGGAAAGGGCAAAGUAAUGUCAUCCUACACCUGAGCACCACCAGGAGUGAUCCCUAAGCAUAGAGCUGAGAGUAAUCCCUGAACACUGUGGCUCAAACAUAUGAGAGAGACAGUAGUCUAUAGAAUGAGAGGUUAGACUUUUCACCAAAUACCUGCACCCUAACGUUCAACAGAUGAUUUUAAUGCCUUUACUAAUAAUGUCCUCUGUGUAGAAGAGGAAGCAAAAGUAGAUUCUCUGUUGCCCUUUCCAUCCUCGGGCAUAGGGAAUAUCAUGCACAAUGAGUCACCAUGGGAGUUUAUACGCUACCAUUCUCAAAGAUAUUUUAAAAUAGCUUCCACUCUCUCCUGCCUAAUGUACUGCAAGGUAAUGUCUUUCUGACAACAUGAUACACGUAGGUUUCUCCUUCUAACAUGUGGAAGAAAGCUUGUUAAAAAUUUACAAGCAGGGCCUCUCCGCAGCUGCACAAGCGUGAAUCCAGACCCAGCAAAACCUCUUUCGGCGUGGGCAACUCCUCGCAGAAUGUCUCCAGCCUGAGAACUAAGCCUCGGCCCCGUGCCCGCCCAGGAGGGGAAAGGUAUUUCUCUCUCUCUCUCGCCUCUUUCUCUCCGGGGAUGAAGGGCGCGGUGGCCGCCAUGUUAAGACGACCACAGAUGGGAUUUACGACAAAAACUGCAGCCAAAGGACACGAGGGUGCUCUUGGGAAGGUGGGAGGCACCGGCCCCUCCCACCGCUGAGAUGUGAUCCCGGGGGCCGCACGCAUGUGCGGCCUCUCCGCAGCUGCACAAGCGUGAAUCCAGACCCCGCAAAACCUCUUUCGGCGUGGGCAACUCCUCGCAGAAUGUCUCCAGCCUGAGAACUAAGCCUCGGCCCCGUGCCCGCCCAGGAGGGGAAAGGUAUUUCUCUCUCUCGCCUCUUUCUCUCCGGGGAUGAAGGGCGCGGUGGCCGCCAUGUUAAGACGAUCACAGAUGGGAUUUACGACAAAAACUGCAGCCAAAGGACACGAGGGUGCUCUUGGGAAGGUGGGAGGCACCGGCCCCUCCCACCGCCGAGAUGUGAUCCCGGGGGCCGCACACAUGUGCGGCCUCUCCGCAGCUGUACAAGCAUGAAUCCAGACCCAGCAAAACCUCUUUCGGUGUGAGCAACUCCUCGCAGAAUGUCUCCAGCCUGAGAACUAAGCCUCGGCCCUGUGCCCGCCCAGGAGGGGAAAGGUAUUUCUCUCUCUGGCCUCUUUCUCUCCGGGGAUGAAGGGCGCGGUGGCCGCCAUGUUAAGACGAUCACAGAUGGGAUUUACGACAAAAACUGCAGCCAAAGGACACGAGGGUGCUCUUGGGAAGGUGGGAGGCACCGGCCCCUCCCACCGCCGAGAUGUGAUCCCGGGGGCCGCACACAUGUGCGGCCUCUCCGCAGCUGUACAAGCAUGAAUCCAGACCCCGCAAAACCUCUUUCGGUGUGAGCAACUCCUCGCAGAAUGUCUCCAGCCUGAGAACUAAGCCUCGGCCCUGUGCCCGCCCAGGAGGGGAAAGUUUGUUUUCAUGUCCUUGUGCUUCAGAGGGAUCUGAAAGACAGAUUGCUAAAGCAGGAUCAUUGUGAAUUGUGUUUGUGCACAUGUAGAAGCUUGAAAUCCUAAGAAAUUUGAAUUUUCUUCAUGGCAUCAAUCCAAGAGUCCAGCUUGCGCACAUGAAGUAAGACCUUGAAUUCUUUUUCGAACUUGGUAAUGAAGAAUCGACUUGGACAAAUUGCUGUUCUAGUAGAUGCUCCUCUAUGCAAACCACCGACAUCUUCAAAAAGUGCUUUACCUUGAACUCGUAGAUCAAGCGAUGCGUUUCUGCACUGCUUUACCUUGCACCAUAGGUCAGCACUAUUCACAAUAGCCAGAAUCUGGAAACAAUCUGAGUGCCCGAGAACAGACGGCUGGUAAAAGAAACCUUGGUACAUCUACACAAUGGAAUACUACGCAGCUGUUAGAAAAGAUGAAGUCAUGAAAAUUUCUUAUAAGUGUAUGGACAUGAGAGUAUCAUGCUAAGUGAAAUGAGUCAGAAAGAGAGGGCCAGACAUCGAAUGACUGCUCUUGUUUGUGGAAUAUAAAUAACAUGAAACUAACACCCAAGGACAGUAGAGACAAGGGCCAGGAGGAUCACUCUGUGGUUUGCAAGCCUGGUUCAUGUGUUGGGGAAGAAGGCAGUUGGGAUGGAGAAGGGACCACUAAGUCAAUGAUGGUUGGAGGGAUCACUCAGGAUGAGAGAUGUGUGCUGAAAGUAGACUAAUGACCAAACAUGAUGGCUUCUCAGUAUCUGUUGCAAGCCUUGACGCCCGAAAGUAGAGAGAGUAAUAAGGAAGGUGCCUGCCACAGAGGCAGGGGUGGAAUGGGGUGAGGAUAUCAGGAGGGAUACUGGGGACAUUGGUGGUGGAAAAUGUGCACUGGUGGAGAGAUGGGUGCUCGAUCACGUAUGACUGAAACUCAAUCCUAAAAGCUUUGUGCCUGUAUCUCACAGUGAUUCAAUUUAAAAAAAGUUGGGUUUUUCCUCAAAGGGUGCUUUUCUUACUUCAUUUGUAUCAUAGCCUAUGAGGAUGAUCAAUAAAAAUAGUUUAACCCAAGGAACCACCUUGCUUUUGGUCAAGAUAUUCAGGUUUUUUCCUUUUGAUAAAUUAUGUUAUAGAAGAUGGAUAACUGGUUCACCUUUAGGGGUAAACCACCAAAAGCAUAAGAUAUAAUGUGUGAGAGAGAGGAAUAGUGCCUGCCAUAGAGAUAGGCUUAAAAAUUAGCACUCUUGUAAAUCAUGGCAUCUGAAUACACAUGUUUUGAGGCUGGAGCGAUAGCACAGCGGGUAGGGCGUUUGCCUUGCAUGGGGCCGACCCAAGUUCGAUUCCUCCAUCCCUCUCGGAGAGCCCGGCAAGCUACCGAGAGUAUCCCGCCCACACGGCAGAGCCUGGCAAGCUACCCAUGGCGUAUUAAAUAUGACAAAAAGAGUAACAGUAAGUCUCACAAUGGAGACAUUACUGGUGCCUGCUUGAGCAAAUUGAUAAACAACGGGAUGACAGUGCUACAGUGCAGUGCUACACGUUUUUAAUGAAAAAGGUCUAUUCAUGUUGUAGCCUAUGACAAAAUUUUCAUAUUUAGGACUGAAUAAUAUUCUAUGUUUAUACCAUAUUUCUCUCUUCUUCUAUACAUUGAUUUUAAAAAAGGUUGCUUUUACCUUUUGGAUAUUCUGAAUAAUAGUGCAAUGAAGGUUGGCUUGCAAAUAUAUCUUCAAUAUUCCUAUUUCAGUUCUUUUUGGCAUAUAUCCAGAAGUGGGAUUACUAGAUCACAUGUUAUAUUUUUAAUCUUUGAGAUAUCUAUACUAUUUUAUAUAGUGUCUACACCAUUUUAAAUUCUCACCAACAGUGCACAGAAUUUCCUUCCACUACAUAUAUACCAGAACUUAAUAUUUUCUGUUUUUUAAAAAAUAAUGGCCUAAUACAUGUGAGGCAGUAUCUUAUUUUGAUUUUCUUUUGCAACUUUCUCAUAAUUAAUGGUGUUGAACACAUUUUUGUUUGCUCUUUUUGACAUUUAUAUGCCUUCUUAAAAAAAUGUAUAUUAAAGUCCUUCACUCACUUUAAAAUCAGGUUAUUUGACUUUUGUUUUUGUUGAACUUUUCUUUCUAUAUUCUAAAAAUCGACCCCUUAUCAGAUAUCUUAUUUGAAAACAUUUUCUUUCAUUCAGUAGACUGUUUUUUCACUCUUUUCAUUGUUUCCUUUGAUAUGCAUACGUUUUAAAGCUUGACACAGUUCCAUAAUACUUUAAAAUUUGAUGAUGUUUUGCUCUGGUUUCCAGUCAAUAUAGAGUCUUACCUUUACCAUAGUCUGUUGGUUAGAAUCAAGUUACAGGUUAGUCAAAGGGAGGGGAUCACACAAAGGAAUGUCAGAAGGAGGCAAGGCAAGAGGCCACCUUAGAGGCAAUCUGCUUUUAAAAGGAAGUAAAUGCCUGCUUCUUAUUUAGUAUCCAACAAGCCCUUUUUAAGAUCAAACAUUGUAUUUGGGUCAUGGUGAAAUAAAUUCAUUAUGGUUCUUGCUCUCUGUGAACAGAGUUCAAUAUGGUUGGAAGGGCACUAUGGUUGAAAAGGCUCAUGGUUG